rnacentral:lncRNA from 1 species
UGGCGGCCCCGCUUAAGCGGGGCGGCGGCCAUGUUUGUGAGGGGCACCCCCCGCCCCCCCCCCCCCCCCCCCCGGAAGCCCGGCCACGUGUCUGGGGGGAUGGCGGGAAGUGGUUGUUCACAAGAGGGCGGUCUCUUUCAUCCUCGCCCCGGAGGUGGCCUCCUACCCUGGCGUGUGAAUGCCCGGCAGCGCUAGGGUGCGCCCGGCCUGGGGGCUGGCGAAGCCCCGGAUCUCGGAGGUGGGCCGGCGAGGCCCUGCGUGGUUCUGCCCCUAAGCUGCCCUCAGGGACCCCGGCGCCCCCAGCCUCGAGCCUCUCCCCGGCGCCGGUGGAGCGCAGCUGGCCCUCGGACGGCCGUACCUCCCGGGGUUCAGCCCUUUCAGUCCCGCUUCUCUGCAGCCCUGGCCUCACGGUGACGGUCCCAAAGGCGCUGCCCUCUCCCCUCUCCGGCGUCCUGGCUUUUGGCAGCUCAGGGACUGUGCAUUAAAGCCAGUGUCUGCCUUUGAGAGUUUUAAAGUUAGAUGAAAUCCAGCCUUGCCUUUAAACACUCCAGUCCCCCAGCUCUGGGCUCUAGGACCUGUGCCUUGAAGAGGCCUCGGUGGGCCCCCCGGGGGCCGAGGGACGCCCAGCCCUGUCCUCCAGCCCAUCAACCCCCCCACCCCCUUUGGGGGCUGAGGGAUGCCCAGCCCUGUCCUCUAACCCUGCUUGCUGGUGCCCCUCCGGAACUGGCCUCCCGGAGUCGUGGCACAAAGGCGGAAGCAGCCAUACGUGUGCUUUGCGAGUCAAUGACAGUGGUGUUUACUUUAUUAUCAUGUGUUUACAGAGGCAUCUUCGGGUAAUUAGGCGGAGCCCCUUCGAUUAGGCCUCAUGUGGGGUCUGCUUUGGGCCGUGAGUGAAAGCACACGCAGUGUUGGCGUGCACACAGGCACGCUCGCGUGCUCACACGUGCUUGUCCACCCGGCUGCCUGUUUCCCGUGGCCUCCGUGGAAGGGAGAAGACAAAUGUGGACUGGCAGGAAAAAUCCAUUUGAAAGGGAAACUAAUCUAACCACUGCCAGCUGUUGAAGAAACACCCAAGGCCGAACCGCGUUAAACACCUGUCCCAUUUUCACUGAAAUUGGUUUCCUGAUAAACUAGGUUCAGUGGUUUUAUUCUGGGGUCCUUCAGAGCUCCGGUUCUCAUAAACUAGGAGCUGACUGUCACCAGCUAGCGUUUGCCUCGAAGGGGAUUGUGGUGUCUGCUGAUGUCGGGACCGCUGCCCGAGCCCUCGGUGCCUCUGAGCACGGCCUCCCAGAGGGGGAUGCUUCAUCUCUGUUCACAAAUUUGCCCUGCGCCCCCUCCCCUGGGUUUGUGUGAAUGGUGUUUCCAGCCCCCCAGCUGCUCUGGCCUGACACCCAGGGCCACCCGGGAUAGGUGACACUCCCUCAGCCCCUGCUUCGAAUCAGCGACCAUUCCUGCACAGCCGCAUGGCUGGACCCCCUUCUCCUCCUGCCCACGCUGCCCACGGCAGUGGGGUGGUCACUUCCCAGUGGUGGCCUGACCCCCUGCUGAAGCUCUCUGUUGCUUCCCCCCUGCUUCUGGGAUCAAGAGCUGGUCCUUUUUUUUAAAUAAGUUUUUUUUUUUUAAGUUUAUUUAUUUGUUUAGAGAGAGAGAGAGAAAGAACAGGGGAGGGGCAGAGAGAGAAUCCCAAGCAGGCUCUGUGCUGCCAGCACAGAGCCCGACGAGGGACUCCAACUCACGAACUGUGGAAUCGUGACCUGAGCCGAAAUCAAGAGUCGGCAGCUUGCCCGAUGGAGCCACCCACGUACCCCAAGAGCCGGUCUUAAUAUGACCUGUAAGG